GGCGCUUCUCAAACCGGGCAAAACAUUCCACGCCGAUGCAGAAGAGAACAUUAAAUUGGGAGUCCCACAACAUUCAUGUCAGCAGCACAUGCUUCCCCUGUUUUUCCGCCCUACUCCACAUGGAUUGAAUCAGAGCAAAAGUGUGAUAUGACUCCUAGUCAAUCCAGACGAAGAGCCACAUGUGUGCUCCAUCCCUUCUCCCUCAACUUGUUCCGCCAUAUCUGUACUUGUCUUCCUGAAUCAGCGCAGGAAUUAGCUGCAGAGCACGCCGUGCAGGUCUCAGUCAAGCUCGGCGCGACAAGCAACAACAUUUACAGUGUUCAUGUGCCUCUCAGGCUCGACGCGGGGCCAGCCAUCAAGUCCGUGCAGUGCCGGUGCGAGGAGAUUUGCAUGCAUGUGAGUUUUAUCCUGCAAAUCUUGUCUUGAUGGAAGGGGGAAAGGGAAAGGACGGGGGGAUCAGAUUUGGAUGGACCAGGAAUUGAAAUCCAAGAUUGCUUUUCCGAUGGGGGGAGGCCUUUGGGACAGAGUCAUGUGCAGCUCUUCUUCGGCGGAGGUCUUGGAAGCUACUGGGGAGCUAACCAACCAUGUGGAGGGUGGCCCAGGGGUGGAUCCUCUCGCUGCUGCUUGGAGACUCACAGCGGUGGGAGGGAGGUCGCCGACUUUGUUUGGGGGUUCGGUUGGACCCUCGAACAUUGAACAGCUUCUCCCCGAAGACCAUGAGCAUGAUGAUCAUGUAACGAGAAACAAUGAGGAUUCAAAACUAUAUUCAAAUCGCUCAUGAUGUUAGAACAUCCGCCAAAAUUCAUCAUGCUUUCCUAA